AUUGAACGCUGGCGGCAGGCCUAACACAUGCAAGUCGAGCGGAUGAAGGGAGCUUGCUCCUGGAUUCAGCGGCGGACGGGUGAGUAAUGCCUAGGAAUCUGCCUGGUAGUGGGGGAUAACGUCCGGAAACGGGCGCUAAUACCGCAUACGUCCUGAGGGAGAAAGUGGGGGAUCUUCGGACCUCACGCUAUCAGAUGAGCCUAGGUCGGAUUAGCUAGUUGGUGGGGUAAAGGCCUACCAAGGCGACGAUCCGGAACUGGUCUGAGAGGAUGAUCAGUCACACUGGAACUGAGACACGGUCCAGACUCCUACGGGAGGCAGCAGUGGGGAAUAUUGGACGAUGGGCGAAAGCCUGAUCCAGCCAUGCCGCGUGUGUGAAGAAGGUCUUCUGAUUGUAAAGCACUUUAAGUUGGGAGGAAGUGCAGUAAGUUAAUACCUUGCUGUUUUGACGUUACCAACAGAAUAAGCACCGGCUAACUUCGUG
rnacentral:rRNA from 1 species